UACGUAGGUGGCAAGCGUUGUCCGGAAUUAUUGGGCGUAAAGCGCGCGCAGGCGGUCCUUUAAGUCUGAUGUGAAAGCCCACGGCUCAACCGUGGAGGGUCAUUGGAAACUGGGGAACUUGAGUGCAGAAGAGAAAAGCGGAAUUCCACGUGUAGCGGUGAAAUGCGUAGAGAUGUGGAGGAACACCAGUGGCGAAGGCGGCUUUUUGGUCUGUAACUGACGCUGAGGCGCGAAAAGCGUGGGGGAGCAAACAGG
rnacentral:rRNA from 1 species